rnacentral:tRNA from 1 species
GCGGCAAAACUGGCGCAGGCGGUUGAGCGCGGCGGCUUCGCCCACCGGGAAUAACGCCGGGUCCAGCUCGGUUUGCGGGUAAUCGAACGGUUUAAACGGAUCGGGCGUUGCAAGCGGCCCGCUUUGCCGCA